rfam:Candidatus Pacearchaeota archaeon CG1_02_35_32 cg1_0.2_scaffold_203_c, whole genome shotgun sequence.
GCGCAGGUGGCGAAGUGGUUAACGCGCUCGGCUGCAACCCGGGUAUUCCGCCGGUUCGAAUCCGGCCCUGCGCU